rnacentral:rRNA from 1 species
CGAGAGCCUGACGGAGCAAUACCGCGUGAGGGAGGAAGGCCUUUGGGUUGUAAACCUCUUUUCUCAGGGAAGAAGUUCUGACGGUACCUGAGGAAUAAGCAUCGGCUAACUCCGUGCCAGCAGCCGCGGUAAUACGGAGGAUGCAAGCGUUAUCCGGAGUUAUUGGGCGUAAAGCGUCCGCAGGUGGUCUUUCAAGUCUGCUGUUAAAGACCAGAGCUUAACUCUGGGCAGGCGGUGGAAACUGGAAGACUAGAGUUCGGUAGGGGUAGCGGGAAUUCCCAGUGUAGCGGUGAAAUGCGUAGAUAUUGGGAAGAACAUCGGUGGCGAAGGCGCGCUACUGGACCGAAACUGACACUCAGGGACGAAAGCUAGGGUAGCGAAAGGGAUUAGAUACCCCUGUAGUCCUAGCUGUAAACGAUG